rnacentral:rRNA from 1 species
UACAGAGGCCUCGAGCGUUGCGCGGAAUCACUGGGCUUAAAGGGUGCGCAGGCGGAAGCGUAAGUGUCUUGUGAAAGCCCACGGCUCAACCGUGGAAUAGCAGGGCAUACUGCGCUUCUUGAGGCUGGUAGGGGCUGCCGGAACUGUAGGUGUAGCGGUGAAAUGCGUAGAUAUCUACAGGAACGCCGAUGGUGAAGACGGGCAGCUGGGCCAGUUCUGACGCUCAUGCACGAAAGCGUGGGGAUCAAACAGG